CCUGCCAUAAUACUGUACAUGUGCAGCCACAUAUAUGAGAGACAGCAGCUCUCACUUGGCUUUGGAGAGAAAAAACGUGAAGGCCCCAGAACCUUAAAAGAUGGAUGAGCAUCGUAUAGGAUCAUACAGCUGUUAUGGGGGAUGAGUGUGUGGGUCAAGAACCAAGGCUUGAGACAAAUCCAGAAAGUUUCCUUAAAUGCAUCUUCACUUUUAGUGAUUAUGUACACGCUGUAUUGAUAUUAAAGUCUGAGGCAGAAGAAGUGCCAGUGCUGAUCCUUAAAUCUCCAAACAAGAAAGAAGGGGAAAAGAAAGAAGGUCCUUUUGGCUGUUUUCCAUAAAUCUAGAAUUAUGAAAGUUUCAUUCCUCUGAGACUUCCCUCCUGCUGGAGCUUUGGAGUGUGACAAUGGUGUUUGUAUCCAAUCUGUCAAACGCCAUUAUCACACUAAAUAGCUACUGUUAGAUAAACCAUCAGCUGCAGAAAAAAAAGGAGGAGGAGGAGGAGGUGUUGGUGGUGACGGAGGAGGAGAAGAAUAUUUGAGAAAUGCAUUUUCUGGCAGCUGCGAGAGAACACCACAGUGGCAUGUCGUGACAACUCUGUACUUUUCAUUGCCAAAAUACCAUACAAUAAAUAAUACAUUUGCUUUCUUAAAAGUGCAUAUGUGAUCCAACUACUUUUGCUGAGAUGGCAUGACUCAAAUUUAUCUUCAUCAAUGGCAGGAAAAUUUGACUGCUCAAGAGCAAAUGAUUAUGUAGAUUCAUUGGAACACACAGCCUACACACAACUGUCUCUCUUUUCCUUCAUAAUAAUCCAAUAUUAAGUAUUCAUUCCAUUUAUUAACAAGUUAAUAGUUAUGGCUAUUUUAGUCUGGAGUAGGGGCUCUAUUGUUGCAUUGACUUUAGAUAAAUAAGCUGGAUCAUAAAAGCAUAAUUCUGUUUGGGACUCAGCUGCACGCAGCCCAGCUGUGAAUACAUUCAUCAUCUAGCUAGAUGCUAAAGAGAAUAGAAGACAGCUUGUCACAUUGUCUGAAAUUUGGCAGAAAAGUAACCAUGAUCCAUUCCCAUAACUGCAAAAUAAAUAUUCCAUUGUUGCACCUAUCUUUGAAAUCAAUGGGAAGACGGAAUUAGGGCUGUGUACAAUCCACUGUCAUGGUCACAUCAGGAUUCAACCUCUAACUUCCACCUUUGACUGUAUUAUCCCAACCUGAUUUGGAAUCAUCAUCACCAUCACCAUCAUCAUCGCCAUCGCCAUCACCAUCACCAUCAUCUCAUAUAUAGGCAAAAUGUCUAUUAAAUAUCAGUAAAGAUAACACUGUACUUUUCAUCAACUGGUUGUACUGUACUUUUAAAGUCUAUUUAAUUUAUUUAUGUACUUACUUAUUAGGUUUUUAUGCUGUUCCAAACAUAGUUGACUCUGAGCAAUGAUACCAAAAUCAGUUUUUCUACUAAGUAUACUCUCAAGCGGGAUCCCAGUCAUGGCUCACCUAUUAAUUUGGUGUGAUAAAAGUGUUUAAAAACA